AAGGUCAGGCAGGCAAUUUAAAAUAGGCUGCAUAUAAUUAUUAUAAAAAGGCUCCUUUCGGUGUACAAGUGGAAGUAGAACUUGUCUCUUUCAAUCCCUGGGAAAGGAGUGUUUUCUGCCAAACCUGUGAGCAUAAAUAAAGUGCAAAAAGGUUGUAAUGGUUUGCACGGGAUACCUAUAGUUUCAACUGCUUUCUGAUGGUAUCAUCUAACCACCUUUUAUCACAUAUCUUCAUUCUUCCAAGGGUAUCUACUUCUCCACCCUUUUUUCUCCAUGGACAGUCUCUUGGUGGAAUGAAACUGCUGAAUGCCUAUAUGGAAAAAUCAAGUGAAGAAGCUAUGAAUACGAUUUGUCCCGGAAAGCUGGACUUCAAUUUGCCACUCUUAUCAACUAGGCGGCUCGGUGUUUGCCCUGGUACAAACUCACAUAUCUCUUCUCAGGAUACAGGCGAUAGGAUUCCAUUUUGCUGGGAACAAGCUCCUGGCAAGCCCAAGAACCUGGAGAGCUCUGGCAUCCAUGACGGAGACACUCCCCGUCCUAAGCUACCACCGUGUAGAUGGCAGCCACAGAAAGAAGCAAUCGCAAAUGAUGUGAACGUUCACGACCAUGAUGAUGGUUGCGAUGCUGAUGUUGAUGACAAUGGCGAUGCUGAAGAGGAGGAUGAUGUGUAUUCAGAUGCUAUAGAUGUGCUAUCACUAACAGAAGCAAUAGACAUUGUCCAGAAAGCUGAGGAUGACUAUGGAAUGGAUAGGUUAAAUUUAGAGAGUUUGGAGUCCAGGGGUAGCCAGUCACCGAAUUUCAUGAUCGAACGCUUUCUUCCUGAUGCUACUGCAUUAGCUGCAUCAUCUGCAUUAUAUUCUUCAAAGAAUUUGAACAGGAAGCUUCCUUAUUUUUGCAGCAAUUAUGCAGAGGAAUAUACUUCACAAACAGUUGGAGGAUCAUAUUCUUCAGAGGCAUCCCAGAAAGGGUGCGGGCUAGAACUUUUGUUUCCCUGGCGCAUGAAGCACAAGUUAUGCGGUGUAAAGAGCCCCGUGCGGCAAGUCUCACCGAAUGUGCGAACUCUAUCUCUAUGUACUUUAAAACAAAGCAAACAUUGUUCAACUGCUAGGCCUUUUGCCCAUGCAAAGAAAGAUAUUUAAUUUAUAAAUUACAGAUUCU
rnacentral:misc_RNA from 1 species